rnacentral:rRNA from 1 species
GACGGAGGAUGCAAGCGUUAUCCGGAAUGAUUGGGCGUAAAGCGUUCGCAGGUGGCUGUUCAAGUCUGCUGUCAAAGACCGGGGCUUAACCCUAGAAAGGCAGUGGAAACUGAACGGCUGGAGUGCAGUAGGGGUAGAGGGAAUUCCCAGUGUAGCGGUGAAAUGCGUAGAGAUUGGGAAGAACACCGGUGGCGAAAGCGCUCUGCUGGACUGCAACUGACACUGAGGGACGACAGCUAGGGGAGCGAAAGGG